rnacentral:rRNA from 1 species
UCCGUAGGGUGCAAGCGUUGUCCGGAAUUAUUGGGCGUAAAGAGCUCGUAGGCGGUCUGUCGCGUCUGCUGUGAAAACUCAGGGCUUAACCCUGAGCUUGCAGUGGGUACGGGCAGACUAGAGUGCGGUAGGGGAGACUGGAAUUCCUGGUGUAGCGGUGAAAUGCGCAGAUAUCAGGAGGAACACCGGUGGCGAAGGCGGGUCUCUGGGCCGUAACUGACGCUGAGGAGCGAAAGCAUGGGGAGCGAACAGG